GCCGGUAGGGUUAUUGAAAUACGAGUUGGGUUUGGCCGGUCCGGUUGCGUUUUUCGGUUGCUUUUUUUUUUAUUAUUAUUUUGAUUUUGAUUUUGAUUUUGUUGGGUCUCUGUUAGUUCGGCUAAUUGGGGUUUUGAGUUUGGGAAGAAGAGGGGAUUUGGAUUUGGAGUUUGGGUUUUAUUUUUUCUGGUUUGGUUGAUUGGGGAUGCUGGUUUUGUUUUUCUGGUUUUUUCUGGAUGAAGAAAAGAGGAAGAAGAACAAAAGAAAAUAGGGUUUGGGAGAAAGAAAGAAGAAACGGUCGGUGAUACUGGAUUUGGGGUGGGUCAAACUGGUUUGAGGCAAGACCCACGGCGCCGAGGGAAAGUCUUGGGAUUUUCUCUUUCUUUGCACCUUCUUCUUCAUCAUAUUCUUCUUAUAUAUUCUCUGCUUGUCAUUGUAUCUUAUAUUGUCUUGGAUUAGUUAAAUCAAGUUUUGAGCUUUGGACCCAGGAAAAAGAAGAGAAGAGGAAUUUGGAGUAUUUCACAGAGAAGAGGAAGAGAAGAGAAGAG